rnacentral:rRNA from 1 species
AAUCAACGCUGGCGGCGUGCCUAACACAUGCAAGUCGAACGCGAAAGGGGCUUCGGUCCUGAGUAGAGUGGCGUCCGGGUGAGUAACGCGUGGGUAAUCUACCUUUGGGUGGGGAAUAACUAGUCGAAAGGCUAGCUAAUACCGCAUAAUGCAAUUUUCUACUAGAAUUUUGUUAAAGCAGUAAUGUGCCUAAAGAUGAGCCUGCGUCUGAUUAGUUUGUUGGUAGGGUAAUGGCCUACCAAGACUACUAUCAGUAGCUGGUCUGAGAGGACGGCCAGCCACAAUGGCACUGAAACACGGGCCAUACUCCUACGGGAGGCAGCAGUGGGGAAUUUUGCGCAAUGAGCGAAAGCUUGACGCAGCAACGCCGCGUGAAGGAUGAAAUCCUUCGGGAUGUAAACUUCGCAAGUAUGGGAAGAAAAAAAUGACGGUACCAUAUGUAAGCCCCGGCUAACUCCGUGCCAGCAGCCGCGGUAAGGAUGAGACGU